rnacentral:rRNA from 1 species
GAUGAACGCUAGCGGCAGGCCUAACACAUGCAAGUCGAGGGGGAACAGGGGGCUUGCACCGCUGACGACCGGCGCACGGGGGUGCGUAACGCGUAUACAAUCUACCUUUUACAGAGAGAUACCCCAGAGAAAUUUGGAAUAAUACCUCAUAAUAUUUUUGCUCGGCAUCGAGUGAUAAUUAAAGUUUCGGCGGUAAAAGAUGAGUAUGCGUCCUAUUAGCUAGUUGGUAAGGUAACGGCUUACCAAGGCGACGAUAGGUAGGGGUCCUGAGAGGGAGAUCCCCCACACUGGUACUGAGACACGGACCAGACUCUUACGGGAGGCAGCAGUGAGGAAUAUUGGUCAAUGGUCGCAAGACUGAACCAGCCAUGCCGCGUGCAGGAUGAAGGUUCUAUGAAUCGUAAACUGCUUUUAUACACCAAGAAAAACACCCACGUGUGCGCAAAUGCCGGUAGGGUAUGAAUAAGCAUCGGCUAACUCCGUGCCAGCAGCCGCGGUAAUACGGAGGAUGCAAGCGUUAUCCGGAUUCAUUGGGUUUAAAGGGUGCGUAGGCGGAUCGUUAAGUCAGCGGUGAAAUACUGCCGCUUAACUGGAAAAUUGCCAUUGAUACUGUUUAUCUAGAGUAUGGUAGAGGUAGGUGGAAUGUGUUGUGUAGCGGUGAAAUGCAUAGAUAUGACACAGAACGCCGAUUGCGAAGGCAGCUUACUAAGCCAUUACUGACGCUGAGGCACGAAAGCGUGGGGAUCGAACAGGAUUAGAUACCCUGGUAGUCCACGCCGUAAACGAUGAUCACUCGCUGUUUGCGAUAUACAGCAAGCGGCUGAGCGAAAGCAUUAAGUGAUCCACCUGGGGAGUACGAUCGCAAGGUUGAAACUCAAAGGAAUUGACGGGGGCCCGCACAAGCGGAGGAACAUGUGGUUUAAUUCGAUGAUACGCGAGGAACCUUACCUGGGCUUAAAUGUAGGCUGCAUUCGGCUGAAAGGCUGAUUCCCUUCGGGGCUGCUUACAAGGUGCUGCAUGGUUGUCGUCAGCUCGUGCCGUGAGGUGUUGGGUUAAGUCCCGCAACGAGCGCAACCCCUGUUCUUAGUUAUUACCAAGUUAAGUUGGGGACUCUAAGGAGACUGCCGAUGAAACUCGUGAGGAAGGUGGGAUGACGUCAAAUCAGCGCGGCCCUUAUGUCCUGGGCUACACACGUGUUACAAUGGUCGGUACAAAGAGCAGCCACUUGGUGACAAGGCGCUAAUCUCAAAAGCCGAUCUCAGUUCGGAUCGAAGUCUGCAACUCGACUUCGUGAAGUUGGAUUCGCUAGUAAUCGCGCAUCAGCCAUGGCGCGGUGAAUACGUUCCCGGGCCUUGCACACACCGCCCGUCAAGCCAUGGAAGCUGGGGGUGCCUGAAGUCCGUAACCGCAAGGAGCGGCCUAGGGUAAAACUAGUAACUGGGGCU